CCAUGUGACUUCACCGUCCCUAUUUUGAGAUGGAGGUGGAUGAGAACUGUUAGCCACAGUCAUUUCAAGGGAGCUACUAAGCUGUGUCUCCUAGAGUUUGGAGACUGUGAUCCAUUUUCAAGUGAACUUUUAGCUUGAAUAUUCCUGCCCACUCCCUUCACUGCUGUGGACAGGGGAAGAAGAAAUGCCAGAGGUAGAAAUUGACAUUGAUGAUCUUCUUGAUGCAGACAGUGAUGAAGAGAGAGCUUCAAAGUUACAGGAAGCUCUUGUAGACUGCUACAAACCAACAGAGGUAAACAAAUUACUCUUCCUAAA